rnacentral:rRNA from 1 species
AGUGAACGCUGGCGGUAGACCUAACACAUGCAAGUCGAACGGCAGCACAGUAAGAGCUUGCUCUUACGGGUGGCGGGUGGCGGACGGGUGAGGAAUACAUCGGAAUCUACUUUUUCGUGGGGGAUAACGUAGGGAAACUUACGCUAAUACCGCAUACGACCUACGGGUGAAAGCAGGGGAUCUUCGGACCUUGCGCGAUUGAAUGAGCCGAUGUCGGGUUAGCUAGUUGGCGGGGUAAAGGCCCACCAAGGCGACGAUCCGUAGCUGGUCUGAGAGGAUGAUCAGCCACACUGGAACUGAGACACGGUCCAGACUCCUACGGGAGGCAGCAGUGGGGAAUAUUGGACAAUGGGCGCAAGCCUGAUCCAGCCAUACCGCGUGGGUGAAGAAGGCCUUCGGGUUGUAAAGCCCUUUUGUUGGGAAAGAAAAGCAGCAGGUUAAUACCCCGCUGUUCUGACGGUACCCAAAGAAUAAGCACCGGCUAACUUCGUG